UACGGGGGGUGCGAGCGUUGUCCGGAAUCACUGGGCGUAAAGGGCGCGUAGGCGGCCUGAUAAGUAGGGGGUGAAAUCCUGCGGCUUAACCGCAGGGCUGCCUUCUAAACUGUCAGGCUUGAGCACAGUAGAGGCAGGUGGAAUUCCCGGUGUAGCGGUGGAAUGCGUAGAGAUCGGGAAGAACAUCAGUGGCGAAGGCGGCUACCUGGCCCAAUACUGACACUCAGGUGCGACAGCGUGGGGAGCAAACAGG
rnacentral:rRNA from 1 species